AUGCAAGUCGAACGAUGAUGCCCAGCUUGCUGGGUGGAUUAGUGGCGAACGGGUGAGUAACACGUGAGUAACCUGCCCCUGACUCUGGGAUAAGCGUUGGAAACGACGUCUAAUACUGGAUAUGAUCACUGGCCGCAUGGUCUGGUGGUGGAAAGAUUUUUUGGUUGGGGAUGGACUCGCGGCCUAUCAGCUUGUUGGUGAGGUAAUGGCUCACCAAGGCGACGACGGGUAGCCGGCCUGAGAGGGUGACCGGCCACACUGGGACUGAGACACGGCCCAGACUCCUACGGGAGGCAGCAGUGGGGAAUAUUGCACAAUGGGCGAAAGCCUGAUGCAGCAACGCCGCGUGAGGGAUGACGGCCUUCGGGUUGUAAACCUCUUUUAGUAGGGAAGAAGCGAAAGUGACGGUACCUGCAGAAAAAGCACCGGCUAACUACGUGCCAGCAGCCGCGGUAAUACGUAGGGUGCAAGCGUUGUCCGGAAUUAUUGGGCGUAAAGAGCUCGUAGGCGGUUUGUCGCGUCUGCUGUGAAAUCCCGAGGCUCAACCUCGGGCUUGCAGUGGGUACGGGCAGACUAGAGUGCGGUAGGGGAGAUUGGAAUUCCUGGUGUAGCGGUGGAAUGCGCAGAUAUCAGGAGGAACACCGAUGGCGAAGGCAGAUCUCUGGGCCGUAACUGACGCUGAGGAGCGAAAGCAUGGGGAGCGAACAGGAUUAGAUACCCUGGUAGUCCAUGCCGUAAACGUUGGGCGCUAGAUGUAGGGACCUUUCCACGGUUUCUGUGUCGUAGCUAACGCAUUAAGCGCCCCGCCUGGGGAGUACGGCCGCAAGGCUAAAACUCAAAGGAAUUGACGGGGGCCCGCACAAGCGGCGGAGCAUGCGGAUUAAUUCGAUGCAACGCGAAGAACCUUACCAAGGCUUGACAUACACCGGAAACGGCCAGAGAUGGUCGCCCCCUUGUGGUCGGUGUACAGGUGGUGCAUGGUUGUCGUCAGCUCGUGUCGUGAGAUGUUGGGUUAAGUCCCGCAACGAGCGCAACCCUCGUUCUAUGUUGCCAGCGGGUUAUGCCGGGGACUCAUAGGAGACUGCCGGCGUCAACUCGGAGGAAGGUGGGGAUGACGUCAAAUCAUCAUGCCCCUUAUGUCUUGGGCUUCACGCAUGCUACAAUGGCCGGUACAAAGGGCUGCGAUACCGUAAGGUGGAGCGAAUCCCAAAAAGCCGGUCUCAGUUCGGAUUGAGGUCUGCAACUCGACCUCAUGAAGUCGGAGUCGCUAGUAAUCGCAGAUCAGCAACGCUGCGGUGAAUACGUUCCCGGGCCUUGUACACACCGCCCGUCAAGUCAUGAAAGUCGGUAACACCCGAAGCCGGUGGCCUAACCCUUGUGGAAGGAGCCGUCGA
rnacentral:rRNA from 1 species